rnacentral:rRNA from 1 species
AGGGUGUAAACGCUGCAGACUUGGUGUUGGAGGCCCUUUGGGGGCAUUCAGUGCCGGAGAGGAGUUGUUAAGUCUGCUACUUGGGGAGUACGUCCGCAAGGAUGAAACUUAAAGGAAUUGGCGGGGGAGCACCGCAACGGGAGGAGCGUGCGGUUUAAUUGGAUUCAACACCGUAAAACUCACCAGGGAAGACUGUUACAUGAAGGCCGAGAUGAAGACUCUGCUAGAUUUUCAGAGAGGAGGUGCAUGGCGUCAGUGACU